GACGACGCAGCUCAGCGGACGAGCGCAGAGCUUGGCUCUGAGGAUGCUGGUUCAACUCCAGCCGUAGCCA